UACGAAGGGGGCUAGCGUUGCUCGGAAUGACUGGGCGUAAAGGGCGCGUAGGCGGAUUGCACAGUCAGAUGUGAAAUUCCUGGGCUUAACCUGGGGGCUGCAUUUGAUACGUGUGAUCUAGAGUGAGGAAGAGGGUCGUGGAAUUCCCAGUGUAGAGGUGAAAUUCGUAGAUAUUGGGAAGAACACCGGUGGCGAAGGCGGCGACCUGGUCCUUGACUGACGCUGAGGCGCGAAAUCGUGGUGAGCAAACAGG
rnacentral:rRNA from 1 species